CCUCCUUUCUAAGGAGUUAGCUUAUUGUAAGAAUUUCCUUCGGGAUGUUCUUAUACAGCUAGGUCAAUCGUGGGGCGUCUGACAGAUAAUUCAGUUUUUCAAUCUUUUUGUGAAUGCAGGGACACGGCACCGUGUCCCUGCAUUUAAUUGUUCUUUUAAUGAUUAGUUUUGGCCUAUUAAUAUUUCCAACUAUAUAGAUUCAAAACAUAAGAAUUAUCGGCCAAUAUCUCUAUGUGGGCUCAUAGCUCAGUUGGUUAGAGCGCAGCCCUGAUAAGGCUGAGGUCGGUAGUUCGAGUCUACCUGGGCCCACCACUUUAAUUGACAAUUGAUUAUUGACUAUUGAUACUAAAUUAGUAAGACAAUUUUAUUGUCUUUUUUUAUGUUUCAGUAUAACGGCUGAAAAAUAAUAAUAGUGUUUCUCAAAAGAUUUAGCAUAUAUCAAUAAA
rnacentral:misc_RNA from 1 species